rnacentral:rRNA from 1 species
ACAUGACAGUCAAUUUUUUCGAGAGUUUGAUCCUGGCUCAGGAUGAACGCUGGCUGUGUGCCUAAUACAUGCAUGUCGAGCGGAGUUCUUCGGAACUUAGCGGCGAAUGGGUGAGUAACACGUACUUAACAUGCCCUCUAGAUUGGAAUAACGAUUAGAAAUGAUCGCUAAUGCCGGAUACUUAUGUUUUUCGCAUGAAGAAUAUAUAAAAGGAGCGUUUGCUUCGCUAGAGGAUUGGGGUGCGUAACAUUAGCUAGUUGGUAGGGUAAUGGCCUACCAAGGCUAUGAUGUUUAGCGGGGUUGAGAGACUGAUCCGCCACACUGGGACUGAGAUACGGCCCAGACUCCUACGGGAGGCAGCAGUAGGGAAUUUUCCACAAUGGACGAAAGUCUGAUGGAGCGACACAGCGUGCAGGAUGACGGCCUUCGGGUUGUAAACUGCUGUUAUAAGGGAAGAAAAAAUAAAGUAGGAAAUGACUUUAUCUUGACGGUACCUUGUCAGAAAGCAACGGCUAACUAUGUGCCAGCAGCCGCGGUAAUACAUAGGUUGCAAGCGUUAUCCGGAAUUAUUGGGCGUAAAGCGUCUGUAGGUUGUUUGUUAAGUCUGACGUGAAAACUUGGGGCUCAACCCCAAAUUGCGUUGGAUACUGGCAAACUAGAGUUAUGAAGAGGUUAGCGGAAUUCCUUGUGAAGCGGUGAAAUGCGUAGAUAUAAGGAAGAACACCAACUUGGCGAAGGCAGCUAACUGGGCAUACACUGACACUGAGAGACGAAAGCGUGGGGAGCAAACAGGAUUAGAUACCCUGGUAGUCCACGCUGUAAACGAUGAUGAUUAGCUGAUGGGAAACUCAUCGGCACAGCUAACGCAUUAAAUCAUCCGCCUGAGUAGUAUGCUCGCAAGAGUGAAACUUAAAGGAAUUGACGGGGAUCCGCACAAGCGGUGGAGCAUGUGGUUUAAUUUGAAGAUACGCGUAGAACCUUACCCACUCUUGACAUCUUCCGCAAAGCUAUAGAGAUAUAGUGGAGGCUAACGGAAUGACAGAUGGUGCAUGGUUGUCGUCAGCUCGUGUCGUGAGAUGUUCGGUUAAGUCCUGCAACGAGCGCAACCCUUGUCCUUAGUUAAAUGUUCUAAGGAGACUGCCCGAGUAAUUGGGAGGAAGGUGGGGACGACGUCAAAUCAUCAUGCCUCUUACGAGUGGGGCAACACACGUGCUACAAUGGACGGUACAAAGAGAUGCAAUACGGCGACGUGGAGCAAAUCUCAAAAAACCGUUCUCAGUUCGGAUUGUAGUCUGCAACUCGACUACAUGAAGUCGGAAUCGCUAGUAAUCGUAGAUCAGCUACGCUACGGUGAAUACGUUCUCGGGUCUUGUACACACCGCCCGUCACACCAUGGGAGCUGGUAAUGCCCGAAGUCGGUUUUGUUAACUACGGAGACAACUGCCUAAGGCAGGACUGGUGACUGGGGUGAAGUCGUAACAAGGUAUCCCUACGAGAACGUGGGGAUGGAUUACCUCCUUUCUA